AAUAUGUGUUGGGGUUAGGACAGAGUUGUUUCAUACCUAAUCCUGGCUUUGCCCAUAUCCACAGAAAUCACCGGAGACCACAGAAGAGUAGGCCUGGAUAUAUUCAGGUGUCCCAUGGCAGGCACAUGCCAAUGCAAUGACUGUUCAUGCUGGGGUCAUCUUCAGUGAGAAGCUGGACUUUUUGUUUUGUAAUGAAAUAUGGUCAUAAUGCAGAGAAAAGGAGAACUGCCUGAUGGAGAGAGAGGGUCAUGCAGCGUAAAUGAUGGAGCCAGAUCUACAGCCUACAAGCUUGGCCCUGUGACAGGCUGCACCUGACUUCUGGCGAACUCUUAGUAGAAAGAGUAUUGGCCUUCAGGGACUCUGUUGGACUGAUCUGAACCAGUGCAUUGCAUCACAGGAGUCCCAGCAGGUGGAGAUGCUGACAGCUUGAAGGGGAAUCCCCAAGAACCCCCAUGAGUUCUUACAAAAUCAAGGCUUGUCUUUUGAGAUGUGUGGUUUUAUUUUGCUUUCCAUAAAUACAGAAG
rnacentral:lncRNA from 1 species